rnacentral:rRNA from 1 species
UAAUACCGUAUAUCUCUAAGGAUCGCAUGAUCCUUAGAUGAAAGAUGGUUCUGCUAUCGCUUUUAGAUGGACCCGCGGCGUAUUAACUAGUUGGUGGGGUAACGGCCUACCAAGGUGAUGAUACGUAGCCGAACUGAGAGGUUGAUCGGCCACAUUGGGACUGAGACACGGCCCAAACUCCUACGGGAGACAGCAGUAGGGAAUCUUCCACAAUGGACGCAAGUCUGAUGGAGCAGCGCCGCGUGAGUGAAGAAGGUCUUCGGAUUGUAAAACUCUGUUGUUAGAGAAGAACACGAGUGAGAGUAACUGUUCAUUCGAUGACGGUAUCUAACCAGCAAGUCACGGCUAACUACGUGCCAGCAGCCGCGGUAAUACGUAGGUGGCAAGCGUUGUCCGGAUUUAUUGGGCGUAAAGGGAACGCAGGCGGUCUUUUAAGUCUGAUGUGAAAGCCUUCGGCUUAANCCGGAGUAGUGCAUUGGAAANUGGAAGACUUGAGUGCAGAAGAGGAGAGUGGAACUCCAUGUGUAGCGGUGAAAUGCGUAGAUAUAUGGAAGAACACCAGUGGCGAAAGCGGCUCUCUGGUCUG